rnacentral:rRNA from 1 species
UACGGAGGGUCCAAGCGUUAUCCGGAAUCAUUGGGCGUAAAGAGCUCGUAGGCGGUUUGUCGCGUCUGCUGUGAAAACUCGGGGCUUAACCCCGGGCCUGCAGUGGGUACGGGCAGACUAGAGUGCGGUAGGGGAGACUGGAAUUCCUGGUGUAGCGGUGAAAUGCGCAGAUAUCAAGAGGAACACCUGAGGUGAAGACGGGUUGCUGGGCCAACACUGACGCUGAGGCGCGAAAGCCAGGGGAGCAAACGGG